UUCCCGGGCUGGUUCGGGUCGGGUAUGGCCGUCGGUGGAGGCAGCAGCAGCCAUGACUGCGCCGUGCUCGGCCGCUUAGGCUGUCCGGGGGAUGGAGAGCGAGCGGCGCUCUAGGGCGCAGGUACCGCCAGCCGUAGCGCGAGGACGAGCUGGAACGCCGGGCGCGCGGGGCGAGGAGGCGGAGCGAGGUGAGCGUGCGGCGGAAGAGGCGGCGGCGGCGGCGGCGGCGGCGCCGUCGGGACAGGCGGAGGCCGCAU
rnacentral:rRNA from 1 species